AGACAGGGUCCCACUUUGUCACUCAGUUUGGAGUGCAGUGGUGUGAUCUCUGCAGCCUUGACCUCCUGGACUCAAGUGAUCCUCUGGCCUCAGCUUCCUGAGUAGCUGGAGCUACAGGCAUGUACUACCAUGCCCAGCUAAUUUUUGUAUUUUUUAUAGAGAUAGGCUUUUGCCAUGUUGCCCAGGCUGGCCUGGAAUUCCUGAGUUCAAGCAAUCUACCCACCUCGGCCUCCCAAAGUACUGGAAUCUCUUUUUUUGGAAUACGUUUCAAAGCAUGUGAUAGACAUCGGUACAGUACAGUCCUAAACACUGAGUGUGCACGUCGUUAACUACAGUUUAAUAUUUGUUUUGUUUCUGGAUCUUUUCCAGGGAUUUUUUUCAAGAUUAAAUUCCAAGCGCCAUGAUAGUUUCUGAGUUAGAAGGAUGGGGCAGGCCCAGGAAUCAGUACUUUGAAAAGCUCCCAAGUGCUUCUUGUGAUGCAUCGGGUUUGGGAUCUUCUGCCCCAGGGAGCGCUUCCCGAUUACUUCAUAGCUAAUCCUCACCUAAAAUGCAGAGGUGGGCAGUUAUCUUUAACCUGACCAUAGAGCUCCAUUUUUGGUUUUCUUGGAAUCUUUUGUUUAAAACAGUGGUUCUCAACCAGGGGCAGUUUUGUGCCUCGAGAGACAUUGGACAAUGUCUGGGAUGGUUUGGUUAUCACACCAGGGGGCAUCUAGUGAUGAGAGAUCAGGGAUGCUGCCGAGCAUCCUGUAAUGCACCGGACAGCCCCACAGGAUGGGGAGUUAUCUGGACCAAAAUGCCAAUAGUGCUGAGGCUGAGAAACGUAUUUUUUUUUUUUUUUUUGCCUAAAAGAAAAUUGCUUGCUCCAGAUGACUCCAGACAAACCAAAAUAAAAAUAAAAAGUAAAAACUAAAAUGACAACAUGAAAUGAAUUUUUAAGAGCCAAAUGAGACCUUUAGAGACAAUCUCAUCACUGCCUACCUGGUUUCCGUCAAAUACAGAUUUAUGCUCCAGAAAGUACCUAAUUUAUUAAAAUAAGCUGAUUUCUAAAAGCUUGUUAGAUGGUCAGUAAUCUCAAACUUUGAGUGAAUUUACUUGAAAAGGUAAUGUUGCUGGUGGCCUUUAGUUUCUUUUAAUAUAUCUUAAAUAUGAUAUCAAAGAAAAACAGAACAUGAUGCUUUGGGAUGAAUGUAAUGAAUGAAAAGCAGGAUUCUUUGGCAGGUAACUGUGUCCCAGGCCCUGUCCUGCAGGGUGGCAGGGAUGUGCUGAGCUGGGUGAGGGGGGACCGCUGAGGGCUUCUCUCAGUAGUUGCUCUGUGUAGAAUUUUCUGAGUGUCUUGGGAGAAUGGGGGCAUUUUUCCUGAAGGUCUCACUUGACUCCACAGUGAAUGGCUUUACCUGUCUCUUGAGUAAGAUGCAUUUCUAGUAAUGCUCUGACUACUUAGUCCACGUUUGACUAGUUUUUAGGAAAACAAUAUGUACAAUGGAACAGAAAGCUUACAGAAAUAAAGGGCAGUUCUUUUCUUGAGGUGAAAGUGAUGUGGGGAGCCAGUAGGUGACAGGAUUUGCUCUGGCCCCUCCGAGGGAGGAGGAAGAUGAAGGUGAAACGUGGUAUUGGUCAGUCCGUUUCCUGCUUGGUUGAUUUCAGGGACCUGAUGAGACAAUAUGGUGGUGAAAACAGACUGCUGGAUUGCAAUGGGCGGAACUGGGCUUAGUCUCUGGAUAGGUGUCAGUUCAUUUCACACCUGUCAUUGAGGGAAAAUAAUACCUGUAUGGCUGUUGGAAGAUUAAAUGAGACUAUGAACGGGAGCUGUGUGGAUAAAAUGUACCAGGCACUCCCAGUGCCAGAAGGUGUUCUUGUUAGUUCUGGGUGUGGCGAUGUGCGAAGACACCCGUGUCUGCGGGGUGUGUGUGAGCUGCAGAUAACCAGCAGGUCCUGCUGAUGAGGCAACCUUCUUGGGAGUCUUGGCUCAGUUCCGGGGUUUAAUUACGAUGUAUCCUUGGGCAAGUGGCUUAAUGUCUCUGAUUGUAAUUUCCUUCAUUUUUUCAUAUCUAAAAUGAAAGAGGUGCUUGGAUAUUCCUAAGGGUUCAUCUUUAGGAGUCUGUACUUCUGGUGUGGAGCUUUCUGGAAAAAGGCUUCUGGGAAUCUGAAAUGGCAGUAGUGAUGGGCGUGGUAACAGCAGUGUUCAUACGCUUCCUCAGUAAUUUUAUGUAACAAACACUCACAGUGUACUUACUGCCCCUGAGAUCUUAAAAACUCUCACUUUCAACUUUCACGACACCCUAUAACUUAGGUAACUGCUAUUAUCCCUGGUAUACAGAUGGGGAAACUGAGCCUCAGAGAGGUUGGUGAUUUGCCCCAAGUCAUAGCUGGGAAGUGGCAGACCUCGAUGGGAUGCAGGCACCCUGCCCUCUGGGCUCCGAUCACUUGGCCACCUCCCCGCAUGCACCACAUGGGCUGUGGAGUUGGAGGCAUUUGUGGGCUUCAAGAAUGAGAGUUGGUGGGGAGUAUGUGUGAGGAACCGGAGGGGUCAUUUCCCUGGGACUGGGAUUGUGGAGGUUUUGAUUUUGCUUUUCCCUUUUUAAACUGGGUGAGGUAUGAGCAUGGGAACUCUGUACGGAAUGUGUCAUUGGAGAGGGACAGCAGGGACAAUGAAGGUAGUCCCCAGAGAAGUAUGAGAAACUGGCAUUCAGUGCUCAUGCAGAAUUCUCUUUGUUUUAAUAAUAAUACAAAUAAUAACAUUAAUAUUAUUUUUAGAGGCAGAGCCUCACUCUGUUGCCCAGGCUGGGGGGCAGUGGCACGAUCAUGGCUCACUGUAGCCUUGAACUCCUGGGCUCGAGCCAUCCUCUCACCUCCCUCAGCCUCCUGAGUAGUUGCCAUGCGUAACACCGUGCCUUGCUAAGUUUUAAAUUUUUUGUAGAGACCGGGUCUCACUGUCUUGCCCAGGCUGGUCUCGAACUCCUGGCCUCAAGCAGUCCUCCACCACAGCCUCCCAGAGUGCUGGGAUUAAAGGUGUGAGCCACUGCACCCUGCCUAGGAUUCUCUGUAGAUGGGGAGCCCACCUGGGUGAGAUGCCAGACACCUGGCUCCGGCAUAUGCACAGCAGUUUCACACGAGCGUCUCUUACUCAGGUUUCAGAGUUCUGGUAAAAGAUUUAGGUUUGACAUCCACCCUUUGAGGUUUUUGGUUCUCACAUGUUUGAUAACCUGAAGCUUGUGGGUUUGAUAUGGGCAGUAAAGUGGGAUUAUUUCUGUUAGAGAUCCUUAUUCCCUAGAGACUUUCUGGUCUGGAAAGGUGAGAGGCUAUAUAUUCAUUAGCUGGAACCACCAUGUGGAUCAUUUGUUGGAAGAACUGUUAGGAAGAAGACAGAUAUUGCUAUAGAGAGCAGGGCCAGAUGAGCGAGAAGGCAAAUGUACUUCAUUCCUGUACCUGCAGGCUUAUUAGGGACAGAUGCCCUCAGGCGGGGAUGUGUAGCUUCACUUGACUGCUCUAAAUAAGGAGCGAGAGGGUGGUGUGUGUGUUAACCAUCAAGAUUAAGCAAGCAAGAAAAAGACAAAAGAAAGCCAUCAUUUAGUAACUGGUGGAGUGAGUUGGAGCCUGGGAGCUGCCCCAGGACAACUGUUAUUUCCCUUGAUCUUCCUCAAACCCUACCAGGAAGUGAGGGCAACAGUUCCCUAAAGCAGCCCCAUCAAGCUCUUAAGAAAGCAGUUUCACUGGGAGUGGGGAGAGGUAGAAUUGGGAGGUGGUAGAGGGCUGGGGGGUAUGAAAUGUGAGGGCCGGAGUCCUCAGCAUCGGAACUCCAGAAAUAAAAAGUUGUCUGGGUCUUUGAAAGCCUCCUAUAUGAUAAUGUUACAGUAACAGUGUUCUCUGCUACUUUCAAUGAAUAAAAAACCUAGGGUUUCUCAGCUACAGUGUGCAUUAAGAGACAUUUGUGGUCUAGUUUUGGCACUUCAUUUCUAUUUGGGAACAUGCAUUCUGAGUUUUAGACAACUAGCUUCCAAAUGAAAUUUUGGAACACCACCCUUUUUUUUUUUUUUUUUUUUUGAGAUGGAGUCACGCUCUGUCGUCUGGGCUGGAGUGCAGUGGCGCGAUCUCGGCUCACUGCAAGCUCUGCCUCCUGGGUUCACGCCAUGCUCCUGCCUCAGCCUCCCGUGUAGCUGGGACUACAGGUGCCUACCACCGCGCCCGGCUAAUUUUUUAUAUUUUUAGUAGAGACGGGGUUUCACCGUGUUAGCCAGGAAGGUCUCGAUCUCCUGACCUCCUGAUCCACCCGCCUUGGCCUCCCAAAGUGCUACGAUUACAGGUGUGAGCCACCGCACCCAGCUGGAACACCACCCAUUUUUUAAAGCAGAGAAUUUAUUGUUAUUUGCACAAAAGGACGUUUGAACACUUUAGGAAAUCUGGAUGCUGGAAUUAACUCGGUCAAAACAAAGCAAAACACACAGAAUCUCGUAUCUUUUCCUGCCCUGAUGCUGAACUGCAGCCUUGAUUUAUGUUUUGUUUUUCCACUUUUGUUUCUGAACCUAUGUGGUACAGGCUGAACCCUUGUCCCUGCUUCGGAGCACUUACCUUAAUUAUUAUAGAAAAAAAUUAAGAGUUGGCUGACUCUGUGCUGAACUUUCUGGUUUUUUUCCAGGCAGUUUCUCCAUAACAAAUGCGUUUUGCAUAGAAUUGAAAUUGCCUAUUUACCUCAAUGACACCAUCCUAAUAGUUGGUGGUAACUACCUAAUCUAAUAAUCUCUCAUUGUGUGUGAUAGGGCUAUUUAUUGUAUUUUAGAGUGAAAUAAUGCAUUUUGUUUGCAUUUUAAAAAGGAAUGGUACAGGAAAUGAUUGUAAUCCAGGACUAAAUAUACAGUUUGCAG
rnacentral:lncRNA from 1 species